GCCCGGGUAACUCCAGGGAAGGCGGUGGACCUACCGCCCGCCUGAGGCUGGUGUGAUGAAGAAGAGGAGAAUCAGGUGGUCUGUGUGCGGGUAGCCUCGUAGUUCAUGGGUGAUAGCCUGUGUCCACCCUCCUGCCUAGGGUGAUUUAGGAUUUUUAAAGCAGGCGGGGGCUUUAUUUCAGGGGGGGGGGCACGAAGAUGGCUUGUUUCUUUGGACAUUACAGCACUAAAGUCAAGCGCUUGUGAGAAUCAGAAUGUUUCAUAAAAGUGACCACGCUGGAACCAGAGGUUCUUUUACUGAGCUCUCAUUAACAACGUCAGCGGCAUAAGUGCAGGGGGCAGGGCAGGGCAGGUCUGCUGCUGUUAAACCACCAUCCCUGGAACCUGGCACCUGCAAGUGAGCAGUUGAAGGACACCAGCAGGGUAGGCUGGGGUCAGGCCACUUCACAUCGGUGGAGCAUGUUUCAGGCUGAACAAACCCAAGGCCCAUUGCAGAAAUGUAACAAAGUGACAUGGAAAGGGGUACUGUGGUGAAAGGAGGCACCUACUUAACAUUACAUAGGCGAGGCUAAGCUCCUGAUAAGAGUGCUGCAGAGCCAGGAUGGUGUGAGCCCAGGAGAGUGGGAGGAAAAGGAGCCCUGCCUAAUUCAGUGCACAAGCAAAUGGUCGGUUUUGUCUGUGGCUGCUUCAGGGUGACGCAAAAGACUCCGGAGUGUUUGGGACAGUGCAAUUGGAAUGUUUACAAAAGUUGGAGGAGCCAGUGGUUCCCCCCACCAUCCCUCAGAUCUUGUAACUUGACCAGAUCUGGAUUGUCAAGUGGACAGCAGCAGAUACCUCUAUGAGCCCACAACUAUACCUCCUGCCAAGUUUCAGGUUCCUACUGCAAACAAUGUAGUUUUCAGACCAGUUCAGAAAAAGAUCAAUUUAAAAAAAAAUAAAGAAAGAACUACCUGUUGUUCCUAGCCUCUGUCUCGAUGCUAAAUGGUUCAGGCUUCUUCAAUUAUUCUUUUAAAUCUCAACCUCAGAGAGCAUACAUAGAAAAUUUCAGAUUGAAUGCUCAAGAUUUGCUAGAAUUAAAAGCAAGGGAAAAGAGACCUUAUUAGGCAACCAUCAGAGAGAUGCUGCUGCCACAAAGGUGGGCUCAGAUAUCCAUAAGGACAUCCCCCAUUUAAAAACAAAAGACACUAUUUCUUUGUUGAAGUUUAGUUGCCUUUAAUUCCUUUGGGGAGGUCAUUCCUCAGGAAGAAUUCCCAGCUGUGGGAGUUUGACACAAGAGAUUCUGGUGUACUCUAGCACAA